rnacentral:rRNA from 1 species
UGGGGAAUUUUGGACAAUGGGCGAAAGCCUGAUCCAGCAAUGCCGCGUGUGUGAAGAAGGCCUUCGGGUUGUAAAGCACUUUUGUCCGGAAAGAAAUGGCUCUGGUUAAUACCUGGGGUCGAUGACGGUACCGGAAGAAUAAGGACCGGCUAACUACGUGCCAGCAGCCGCGGUAAUACGUAGGGUCCAAGCGUUAAUCGGAAUUACUGGGCGUAAAGCGUGCGCAGGCGGUUGUGCAAGACCGAUGUGAAAUCCCCGAGCUUAACUUGGGAAUUGCAUUGGUGACUGCACGGCUAGAGUGUGUCAGAGGGGGGUAGAAUUCCACGUGUAGCAGUGAAAUGCGUAGGGAUGUGGAGGAAUACCGAUGGCGAAGGCAGCCCCCUGGGAUAACACUGACGCUCAUGCACAAAAGCGUGGGGAGCAAACAGG